rnacentral:rRNA from 1 species
UACACGACCGUACCGCAAACCGACACUGGUGCGCGAGAUGAGUAUUCUAAGGCGCUUGAGAGAACUCAGGAGAAGGAACUCGGCAAAUUGACACCGUAACUUCGGAAGAAGGUGUGCCUUUAGUAGGUGAACCAUUUACUUGGGGAGCCCAAUGAGGCUGCAAAAAAUCGGUGGCUGCAACUGUUUAUUAAAAACACAGCACUCUGCUAAGACGAAAGUCGACGUAUAGGGUGUGACGCCUGCCCGGUGCUGGAAGAUUAAAUGAUGGGGUGCAAGCUCUUGAUUGAAGUCCCAGUAAACGGCGGCCGUAACGAUAACGGUCCUAAGGUAGCGAAAUUCCUUGUCGGGUAAGUUCCGACCUGCACGAAUGGCGUAAUGAUGGCCACACUGUCUCCUCCUGAGACUCAGCGAAGUUGAAAUGUUUGUGAUGAUGCAAUCUCCCCGCGGAAAGACGGAAAGACCCCAUGAACCUUUACUGUAGCUUUGUAUUGGACUUUGAACAGAUCUGUGUAGGAUAGGUGGGAGGCUUUGAAGUGUGGUCGCUAGAUCGCAUGGAGCCAACGUUGAAAUACCACCCUGGUGUGUUUGAGGUUCUAACCUAGGUCCAUUAUCUGGAUCGGGGACAGUGCAUGGUAGGCAGUUUGACUGGGGCGGUCUCCUCCCAAAGUGUAACGGAGGAGUUCGAAGGUACGCUAGGUACGGUCGGACAUCGUGCUAAUAGUGCAAUGGCAUAAGCGUGCUUAACUGCGAGACUGACAAGUCGAGCAGAUGCGAAAGCAGGACAUAGUGAUCCGGUGGUUCUGUAUGGAAGGGCCAUCGCUCAACGGAUAAAAGGUACUCUGGGGAUAACAGGCUGAUACCGCCCAAGAGUUCAUAUCGACGGCGGUGUUUGGCACCUCGAUGUCGGCUCAUCUCAUCCUGGGGCUGUAGCCGGUCCCAAGGGUAUGGCUGUUCGCCAUUUAAAGAGGUACGUGAGCUGGGUUUAAAACGUCGUGAGACAGUUUGGUCCCUAUCUUCCGUGGGCGCUGCAGAUUUGAGGAAGCCUGCUCCUAGUACGAGAGGACCGGAGUGGACGAACCUCUGGUGUAUCGGUUGUCACGCCAGUGGCAUUGCCGAGUAGCUAAGUUCGGAAGAGAUAACCGCUGAAAGCAUCUAAGCGGGAAACUCGUUUCAAGAUUAGAUCUGCCGGGGCCUUGAGCCCCCUAAAGAGUCGUUCAAGACCAGGACGUUGAUAGGUCAGGUGUGGAAGUG